rnacentral:rRNA from 1 species
CACGGGGGGAGCAAGUGUUGUUCGGAAUCACUGGGCGUAAAGGGCGUGUAGGCGGUCAAGUAAGUGGAAUGUGAAAGCCCCCGGCUUACCCGGGGAUCUGCAUCCCAAACUGCUUGGCUUGAGUACGGGAGAGGAUAGGGGAAUUCCUGGUGUAGCGGUGAAAUGCGUAGAUAUCAGGAGGAACACCGGUGGCGAAGGCGCCUAUCUGGCCCGAUACUGACGCUGAGGCGCGAAAGCUAGGGGAGCAAACGGG